CUCAUCCUUCAGCUUUCUCAGUAUAUUAUCGACUUCGUCCCUGACCUGCAAACCUUUUCCCCCCUGCUUUGCUUCUCACUGGCCUCCUUUUGCCGCCACACCCAAGACCUUUCUUCGUCGAGGUCGUCAUCAUAAGAGGUUGAAACCUUUUCUCUCGCAUAAACUCUUUUCCCCAUAAAUUCUUUCUCUCGUAAACCUCGUGCCCUUAUUUCUCUUGUAAAUUCUUACACCCUUGUGUAAACCCUAUUCAUUUUGUGACUGCGCUGUUGUCUUCAACUCGUUUUAUUAACUUCGCAUCCAAACAACUUCAUCGGCGCAUAGUUCCCCAGAGAAACCUCGAUUUGUGGCAAACUUUGAAAUCACUAGAAGAUAUUGUCGGAGCGUGCACCAAAGAUCAUGGGAAUCAAGACUAGGAGCUAAAUGACAUCUAACUCGAGUUAAUGACAUUGGGAAUUUAAGACUAGGUUUAUAGUGCGUCUUUAUACUUUCGUUAUCUAAUUGCCUAUUGUAGUAGUACACUAUAUAUGCAUUUUGUAUACUGAGUAUGAUGUUUGCAAUGGCAACAUCUUUGAUUGUUAUUUUGUGGCAUUCUAUCUGUACAACUCGAUGUACUUUUUUUUAUAUAGUUUGGAACUUUGGAUUAUGUUUACUAGUUAUGUAAAAGUUAGUUUAAAAAAUAACUUGACUUUUUA